rnacentral:sRNA from 1 species
ACAUAGCCCCGAUAGUAGUGACAUCCUUUUUUGCUUUCUUUUAGAAAUUUUCUAUUGAUGACAAAUCGUUCUGAAAGCAAAAAAGAUAUAGUGGAUAGCGGGUUGGAAU